UGCGAUAAUCCACGGGAAGCCGCAAGCAGGCUAUGAUCCGUGGGUCUCCGAAUGGGGAAACCCGGUCCCGGUAAUACGGGAUCACCGCCGGAUGAAUUCAUAGUCCGUCGGAGCGACACGGGGCGAAGUGAAACAUCUCAGUAACCCCAGGAAAAGAAAACAACGUGAUUCCGCAAGUAGUGGCGAGCGAACGCGGAACAGCCUAAACCCCGGCAACUUGUUGCCGGGGGGUUGCGGGACCCUGAUAGGGCAUGCGGAAGGUUAGCGUAACGGCCUGGAAGGGCCGGCCAAAGACCGUGACAGCCGGGUGCGCGAAAACCCGAGGCAGCCUAAGGGUAUCCCAAGUAGUGCGGUGCACGUGAAACUCCGCGCGAAUCCGUCCCGACCACGGGAUAAGGCUAAAUACCACCUGGCGACCGAUAGUGAACUAGUACCGCGAGGGAAAGGUGAAAAGAACCCCUGUUAGGGGAGUGAAAUAGUACCUGAAACCAUCUGCCUACAAUGUGUGGGAGCCCGUAAGGGUGACCGCUUGCCUUUUGCAUAAUGAGUCUGCGAGUUAUUGUCCGUGGCCAGCCUAAGCAGCAACGCUGUGGAGGCGAAGGGAAACCGAGUACUAAACGUGCGCCAAGUCGCGGGCAAUAGACCCGAAGCGGAGGUGAUCUACUCUUGAGCAGGUUGAAGCCUGGGUAACACCAGGUGGAGGACCGAACUCGUGGAUGUUGAAAAAUCCUGAGAUGACUUGAGAGUAGGAGCGAAAGACUAAUCAAACCCCGUGAUAGCUGGUUCUCUUCGAAAUCGCUUGAGGGCGAGUCUUAUGGAAGUACCCGGCGGAGGUAGAGCACUGAAUGGCUUAGGGGCCCCACCAGGCUGCCAAAACCAAUCAAACUCCGAAUACCGUCGGUCUCAGUAUCAUAGGAAUCAGGCAGUAGGUGAUAAGAUCAAUUGCCGAGAGGGCAACAGCCCAGACCAUCAGCUAAGGUGCCUAAAUGUGAUUAAGUGGAAAGGAUGUGACGUUGCUUAGACAGUGAGGAUGUUGGCUUAGAGGCAGCCAUCAUUUAAACAGUGCGUAAUAGCUGACUCAUCGAGCGAUGUCGCGCCGAAAAUGAUUGGCGAUCAAAUCACAUACCGAAGCUAUGGAUUCAUGACCGGUUCGCCGGACAUGAGUGGUAGAAGAGCGUAAUCAGUGCAGCGAAGCUGGACGGAAACGGAAAGUGGAGCGCUGAUUAGUGAGAAUGCAGACACGAGUAGCGAUAAAACAGGUGAGAAUCCUGUUCGCCGUAAACCCAAGGUUUCCUGGGCCAGGUUCGUCCUCCCAGGGUUAGCCGGGAGCUAAGAUGAGGCCGUAAGGCGUAAUCGAUGCACAGCAGGUUAAAUAUUCCUGCGCUUGCCCGGGUUAAAGCUGUGAAUGACACAUGGGAUCACAUCAACUAGGGUAUUGAAUCCUGAGCUUAGGCUUCGGCCGAAGCGUAUUGGUGGGGUCCUGUGUCGAGAAAAGUUUGCAGUUGUUCCCCGGACAACCCGUACCGUAAACCGACACAGGUGGGUGAGUGUAAGCGCACUCAGGCGCGCGAGAGAAACCUCUCUAAGGAACUCGGCAAAUUAGCCCCGUAACUUCGGGAGAAGGGGUGCCCACUUCGGUGGGUCUCAGUAAAUUGCGUUUAGCGACUGUUUAACAAAAACACAGCACUCUGCCAAGUCGUGAAGACGACGUAUAGGGUGUGACAAGUGACCAAUGCGGAAAGAUUAAACUAUUGGGUCAGGCGCAAGCCAAAGCUCGGUAGCCAAGUCCCCGUGAAUGUCGGCCGUAACUAUAACGGUCCUAAGGUAGCGAAAUUCCUUGUCGGGUAAGUUCCGACCUGCACGAAUCGUGUAACGA
rnacentral:rRNA from 1 species